CUGGAAAAAGGUUACAUGAAUAUGCUUCUUCUGGAAAUUAUGGAGGAGCUGGGGAAGAAGAGAGUCUUCAGCAACUGAGCGUAAAAGCCGCCUCGCUAUCUUUUUCUAAUGUUUCAGCGAGGAAGAAGAUGAAGCCAAAUGGACCCAAGAUUCGGCCUCCGAAGUCGUCUAAAUCUUCUGAGCCUGUCGAAGAGGAUAUAGAGAUUGAGAUCGCUGAGGUUCUCGGGCUGAUGAAGCAAUCCAAGAGCUCCAAGGACCAGGAUAAUAUCAAAAACUCUGGUUCGCAGUUGCAGAGCACAAGGACAAGAAAGUGGAGGCUGAGAGUGCUUUAAUGGCAGUUCAGGACAGUUCGGUUUCUGAAGCUGGCGUCUUUGAAAAAAGUGACCAACCGGAAAAGAUUGAAACUUGUUCGCCGAAAUCAAACGGGGAACUGUGCAACCCGGUUCACCAUACGGGUUGUGAUGAAGGAGCAUCUGGGUCCACCAUAGAGUCGCAGAAGGAAGAUGCCAAACCAUUCAUGGAAGAGGGAAAAAGCAUCCUCCCAAAAGUGGAAUUGUCUUGGGAAGAUUUGACAGGGACAAAAGCGUGAGCAUCAAAGAAUCUUUUCUUUGUCUCUUUUUUAUUUUGAUUGAUUGUGUCACUGAGAAAUAUCCAAUUAAUGAUGCAGCCCAAAAAAAAAGAAAAAGAAAUCUGAUUAGUACUUCUCUGCAACUCUCUCCCUGCCCCAUUCCACAGCCCACCAACCCAGCACUCUAGCCACCCAA